rnacentral:tRNA from 1 species
GGCCUAUUACUUUAAUGGUAAAAGAUAGUGUUUCGGCCACUCUAAUACAAGUUCAAGUCUUGUAUAGGUCU